rnacentral:rRNA from 1 species
CCUACGGGGGGCUGCAGUGAGGAAUAUUGGUCUAUGGACGAGAGUCUGAACCAGCCAAGUAGCGUGAAGGAUGACUGCCCUAUGGGUUGUAAACUUCUUUUAUAUGGGAAUAAAAUGUUCCACGUGUGGGAUUUUGUAUGUACCAUAUGAAUAAGGAUCGGCUAACUCCGUGCCAGCAGCCGCGGUAAUACGGAGGAUCCGAGCGUUAUCCGGAUUUAUUGGGUUUAAAGGGAGCGUAGGUGGAUUGUUAAGUCAGUUGUGAAAGUUUGCGGCUCAACCGUAAAAUUGCAGUUGAAACUGGCAGUCUUGAGUACAGUAGAGGUGGGCGGAAUUCGUGGUGUAGCGGUGAAAUGCUUAGAUAUCACGAAGAACUCCGAUUGCGAAGGCAGUUCACUGGACUGCAACUGACACUGAGGCUCGAAAGUGUGGGUAUCAAACAGGAUUAGAUACCCGUGUAGUC